UGUGUAGGCAGCAGCGCCGGAGGAAGAGGAGCACGAGGAUGCAGCUGCUACCGUGGCCCCAAGAGGGAGCAGCCACUGUUCUGUGGUCGCGGGGGCCAAGAAAUUGGAAUUAAGCCUGGGGGUCCUGUUGUUGAGGUGACCAGGGCAGACGGUCUUGCCAGAAGCUCAGGCCUAGUAUCCGGGGAGAGUUCGGUCCGCUGGGCGAAGGCCUGCCGCCUUUGCUUCCUUCUGGCCCUCCAAGUCGAUGGUGGUGAAGUUGGUGGCCGCCAGAGGCACAAGCACCAGGCUGCUUCUCAUGCACCCAGCGCUUUUCUGGCCCUGCUUGGACAGCUGCGACGCCGCCUCCUCUCGCCGGUGGAUCCCACCCUCAGCGGCGGGGGAGGGGGAAAGUUUUCCCCUCUGCCGGGCUGUGUGGUGCAGGGCGACAACGAGACCUUAGGAGAGUAGGGGAAGAAGCCAGCAAUUGAGAUUUCUUCUGAUUGUACUGUGCUGAGCUAAGCAAGGAGAUCAUGGCAAAUGCAACGUGACCAAACAUCUCAUAGUCCUGCUGCCGCAUCUUCACUGCCAUGAUGGACUGCAUCCGCUCAAACUG